rnacentral:pre_miRNA from 1 species
UUCAUACUCCCUCCGUCCGGAAAUACUUGUCAUCAAAAUGGAUAAGAAGGGGUGUAUCUAGAACUAAAAUACAUCUAGAUACAUCCUCUUUUAUUCAUCUUGAUGACAAGUAUUUCCGGACGGAGGGAGUAUUUG